UACGUAGGGGGCGAGCGUUAUCCGGAUUUUCUGGGCGUAAAGCGCGUUAAGGCGGUUGGCAACGUUGGUUGUGAAAUCUCAGGGCUCAACCCUGAAAUUGCGACCAAUACUGGUCGACUAGAGUGUGAGAGAGGAAGGUGGAAUUCCCGGUGUAGUAGUGAAAUGCGUAGAUAUCGGGAGGAACACCAGUGGCGAAGGCGGCCUUCUGGCUCAUAACUGACGCUGUAGCGCGAAAGCGUGGGGAGCGAACCGG
rnacentral:rRNA from 1 species